ACAGCAGCGAUGGUCCACGCCACGCCGAUGCCCAGGAAAACGUUUACAGCAUUGCUGCCCGUCACAUUGCCGAUAGAGGCGUCCGCAUAUUGGUCCUGGAUGGCUGCCACUUUGCUGGCAAAGGUGUCUGAGGAGCACACAGGAGAUGUAGUUAGUGAAAUGUUUCUCAGAGGUCAGGUGACCACUCAAAUCUAGAAAUACUCCAUGGACUUUUUUUGGUAAAAAUGUGCUAGACCAACAUUUAAAAGUAAAGCUAUUGUAUUUAUUUAUUUUUUUUAUUUGACAUGUUGUUUCUCAUUUCACUCAUUCUAGGUUGCAUAAUUAUUAUUAUUAUGCUUUAUGUUAAAAAUACUACAUAAUCAAAUGGAAUUGGUUAACGUAUCUCGGGUGGACAUGCUGAUGGACGGACGCACAGACAGAAGGACAACCUGCAGACAUAAUGCCUUAAUUUGCAACACACUUACAUCAUUGCUGCAGUGUAACAGAGCAACAAGAGAACAUUUUUUUUUUUUUUUUACAAACUUUACCUCAGACGUUGAUGCUUUUUGUCAGUAGUGCCUGACCGGCUAGAAAGCAGUAUGCAGCCUGGAGUUCUGGAUGUCACCAUAUUGACUGAUGAUGUGAAAAAUCGCAGAGACAAACACUGCACUAGGAGAUGAGAAAAUCAGACUGUGGAGAAAGUCAUGAAUAAUUCAUACGUGUAUUUGGACACAUCCAAUCUCAAGGCAACAAGUUCCUAAAACUAAAGACAUCAUGGAUAUUUUGAGAGGCACUUAUAAAUUUCUUCCUGCAUUUUUAGUUGAAGUUUAGCUGACAGCGCUAAAAGUUGUAUGUCCAUGUCUGGUGAAACAAACACAGACAAAACCAAAAUAAUAUGAUAAAGUUUGUAGCUGAGUUGUCAUACGUAGCUCUAUAGCUAGCACAACAUGUGGUGACUGAGCAGCCGAUGGAUAAUCUGCUCGUUUUCCAGACUCAAAUAAUAUAUUUCACAUCUCAAAGUCAAAUAGUUGAUUUAACAUUAUUUGAUUUUCUUUUUUGUGGAGGAAGCAAUUUUUUGUUUUUUUGUUAAAGCUAAGCUACUGCUUUAAAAACUAUAAGCACAUAAAAUUCCUUUUGGACUAAUUGCUAAGAUCCUGAGUGCAUUCUCAGUGUCCUGUUUUGCCUUAAGAUGAAUGCCCAUUAGAAUUUAUUUUUAUCUAUUGUUAUCUAGCUAGCCUUCAUAAACUGCACGGGGGUUAGCUACUGUAGCAUUACAUGAAGUUAGUUCACCCAAAUCAUUAGCUUGCCAGGCUGUCUGAGCGAUAAAUAAUGUAUCUACUUGAUUCCUUAUAAAGUAAGGUUUUAUACAGGUUUCGUUUCAACUGUCCAUGAGCAACAUCACUACUUCCACGUCCAUCGUGUUGGUAAUAAGUUUCUCUAAGCACUAUUAAUGUUGAUUUUUUUACUCUGUUUCUCAUCAUUGAUUUUAUUUUUGCAAGCAUUUUUGUUUAUAGUAAAAGUAUUGUGCUGAGCUCAGAGUUUCUGAGCUAAGUUUUCAUCCAGAUACAGCCAGAGAUUGGGCAGAGUGAAGGUAUAGUGGUCGGGAACGUGUAUAAAAAUAACUGACAGUAUGUAAAAACAAGUGAGCAGUUUUAAAAUUAAUCUGUAUCUUAUCUAAAUCUUGAUCUAAUUAAUCUGAAUCUGUAUCUAUCUUUAUUUAAUCUAUCAUUAUAAAACAGUUUUAAAUUGAAAUUUCUUGCUUACAACCAGGACCACUUCUAGCCAUUUAUAUGAGGGUGGGCUGGUACAAAAAAUAGGUGGGCAAUCAGCGGUAGUGGCCCAAACUCCUAAUCCAGUUCACCCCAUAAGUAAUAUUUACAAAAUUAGAAAAAAAUCUCAUUUCAACUAAAAUUGAAAAGUGAUGAAAAACAACUUUGAAUAGAACAGAACAGAAUAGAAGCCUUUAUUUUGUCAUAUAGCUACUGUAUACACUGCAGUAUAUCCCAGCUUUGGAAGUUGGGGUCAGAGUGCAAGGUCAGCCAUGAUACAACACCCCUGGAGCAGUGAGGGUUAUCAAUACUUAACUUGAUCUAGAACUAAAUUUCAUUCAUUCAUUCAUUUUCUACCGCUUAUCCGAACUACCUCGGGUCACGGGGAGCCUGUGCCUAUCUCAGGCGUCAUCGGGCAUCAAGGCAGGAU